AAUCAACGCUGGCGGCGUGCCUCAGACAUGCAAGUCGAACGCGAAAGCCCCCUUCGGGGGGCAAGUAGAGUGGCGCACGGGUGAGUAACACGUAGGUAAUCUACCUUUGGAUGGGGAAUAACAACCGGAAACGGUUGCUAAUACCGCAUAAUGCAGCGGCACCUAAUGGUGACAGUUGUUAAAGCGGGGGAUCGCAAGACCUCGCGUCUGAAGAGGAGCCUGCGGCAGAUUAGCUAGUUGGUAGGGUAACGGCUUACCAAGGCGAUGAUCUGUAGCCGGCCUGAGAGGGCGGUCGGCCACACUGACACUGACAUACGGGUCAGACUCCUACGGGAGGCAGCAGUCGGGAAUUUUGGGCAAUGGGCGAAAGCCUGACCCAGCAACGCCGCGUGAAGGAUGAAAUCCCUCGGGAUGUAAACUUCGCAAGAACGGGAAGAAUAAGUCGGUGUUAACACCACCGGCGAUGACGGUACUGUUUGUAAGCUCCGGCUAACUCCGCCAGCAGCCGCGGUG
rnacentral:rRNA from 1 species